GCUCCUCCCGUCCUUCCAAGCAUUCCUAGGGAGAGGAUUUAGGGGAAGCCCUCUUGAAAGACUGUAGAAUAACCCAGAACUGCAGAAGAGCCUUGUCAGCAAGAGUGACCCGGGAGAUGGGCAAUGCAGGACCGGGAAUUUGAGGUUAAGGAUGAUCACCAAGGUCAUUCCGAGCACCUCGAUGUCUGCAGCAAAGCCGUGUCAUCAUGCCGGGAGGGCAGGAGCCGCUUAUAAGCUACAGAAACUUAAGUGACUUUGAAACGAGAUAGCCUCAGGGGACAGCCCAGGUGCCUCUUUCCUAGACCUGUGCGUUUGCAGAGAUGCAGCUACCGUUCUGUCCCAGCCUUCUUUCCUGUCCUGUUCUCUCCUGGUGAUUGUCGGCUCCAUGGUGGCACCUGAAGUUUAUCCCGUUGCCACCUGAAAAUGACAGAGUACUUACAUGGAAAAUCUAUCUGCAGUUUAACUCAGCAUCCAAAGAUCAAAGCCGCCCUCACUCUCCUCAGGACGUAAAAAGAGAAAACGUGUGCAGUGACGACCAGCGGAACGGAAGGAGCACUGGAUUGAGAUUUAGGAGGCCUGGCUCCUACGCCUUGCAGUUUCUUCAUGCCAUGUGCAAGGUGGUAACCACUCUGCCUGUUUUCUCACCAUCAGAUAAUACCUACCUCCCAGGACUGUUGAGAAAUACUGAGUAUACUGAGAAAAUAAAUAAAUAAAAACUGGAAGAGUUCUUGUAGGUGUGAAUGCUUUCUUCGUUUUCUUUUCUUUUUUUCAAGUGACGAGGAGAAAAAAGAAACGGGAAUUAUCCUCUUUUAAGUCCAGAACACAUGCAUUCAACCACUCAAAUAUUUGGUGCCAUGCUAAAAGAAAGGUAAUGGAGAUGAGGAGGAGAAGAGUUUUGUUUAUUUAUUUAUUUAUACUGAGUCUUGUUCUCUCGCCCAGGCUGGAGUCCAGUGGCACAAUCUCGGCUCAUUGCAACCUCUGCCUUCCAGGUUCAAGCGAUUCUCGUGCCUCAGCCUCCUGAGUAACUGGGAUUACAGGUGCCCACCACCACGCCCAACAAAUU
rnacentral:lncRNA from 1 species